GACUGGACCAGCCCCAGCUUAGCCUGGUUCGCUUGCCGAGCACUGAUGCUGCAGCUGACUCUCGAUCCCAUCUCUCGUUCUUUCCUUUCUUCGCUGAUCGCCUAGGACACGCGCGCGCGCGUUCGCGGACACAUGAUCGGCGGGCGUUCGCUGGUCGGGGAGGGGUGGCCGGCCGCGGCCGGCGGCGUCCGGCCGGCCUGACGGAGCCGUUCCCCGCGCCGGGGCCAAACGGCGUCGACGGAGGGCGUGGCGGCCGCGUGUGGCGAGCCCCGCUCCCGAAGCAAGCCGAGCGAGACCGCAGGCAAGCGGCGGUCUUGCCUCUCUCUCUCUCUCUCUCUCUCUCUCUCUCUCUCUCUCUCUCUCUCUCUCUCUCUCUCUCUCUCUCGCAAUAUUCUCUUGUUACUUGUUGCACCUCUCUCUUGCAAUUUGCAGCGCAGGUUACCCUUCAGAGAAAGGCGCAUCCGAUCGGCGUCUCCGCCGUGACGAUUCCCGUCUCGCGAGACGGACACUGACGCUAGAUCUGUUUCCGGCGUGGCCUUCCUCCUGGUGAUGGAGUCCUCUUCUACCCUGGUGAAGUGUUCUCGUCUUCACAUGAACCAGUUGCAUCAACCCGACUAGAGCGCAUUCUCAGUGGCAUGCAGUUGAUGAUUUUGUUGAUAAUGAGCCCUCAACUUAGAAAUAUCCAUAUCAAAAGUAGUCAGUGAGCACUCACAUGCCCUGCUGGGUCUUUGUAAUUUUGCUUGGCAUUUCUCAAGGGUUCUUCUCUUAGCAGCACGCUAGGAACUAAUCCGACUUGUUAAAUUGAUUCCCAUUGCGCAUCUGUAAGCAGUGCAUACUGCAAAUUAGACCACAGUGUACCUCUGUAACCAAUGCGAUUGCUCGCUGUUUCCCUGU